CGGCAGCCAAUGAACCCGUGCUCCCCACGGAACACGAUGAUGGGGCGGUUAAUCAGCUUCAUGAGGAAGAGUUCCGAGUCCCCUGUCACAGGGAAAAGGGGCCGUUGAGCUUUACAGCAACAAGGCUAGGCCAGCCAAGGGUUUCCGGUGUAACCCUGGCUGUCCCGGAAUUCAGAGAGCCACCUACCUCUGCUUUAAUGCUGGAUAAGAAGCCCAUGUCACCGCAACCCAGCUAGACUCCAUCCCUGCCCCCCCCGCAAAAGUAUGUAGAAUGACCGAAGACCACACAUAUGAUAUUGAUCUUUGACUUCCACAUUAGAGGUGUACACAUAGACAAUAAAAACAGGAUGUGCCCAGCAGGAGGACUGCCACAAGUUCAAGGCCACCCCGGGCUAUAUAAGACUCUUACAAAAAAAUCUGGGGAUUUAGCUCAGUGGUGGAUUUCUUUAAACUCUAGUGCCCAAAAUGACAAGGAGGAAGGGGAGCAGGGGAGGAAGGAAGCCUUCAAACUUCAAAAUGAACCACCCACAAGGAUGUUCUAAGGCCAAGCAGGAGAACUCUCCCGUGGUCCUGGAUUGGGUCUUAAAGAUUGGUUGCAGUUCGGCAACGCUGCCGUUAUGUAAGGAAUGGCCUGGUUUUGUAGUUACAGAGGCGUUUCCGGAUAAGACACUCCAGUGUCAGGAAUUUGCUUUAAAUACAACCAAAACCAUUGAAUAAACACACAGAUGGAGCUGGUUCUGCAGAAUGUCACAUGGCGGAUGCUGGUAAAAGGGGCUUCGUUACCUGCUUCCUGUAGUGGGCAUGUGUGAAAGCCAAAGAACCAAGUAGGAGCCAGGCACGGCGACCCACGCCCAUCAUCCCAGCACUCCGGAGGCCGACGUUACCCUCGGCGAUGAGUAGGGCCCCAUCCCGAAAGAUAAUAAAAUAAAAUAGAGCCGUGGCUGUAA